AGAAUAUUUUUUCUCUCAUCUAGAAUUUGAGCUCUAAUCUAUUACUCAUUUCGUCACUAAAACAAACCUUUUAAUAACUAAACAAAAGGUUUUAAAUCCCAAUUUGAAGUUCUUUCCUAGGGUUUCUUUUCUUCAAUACCCGACACAAGUGUUAUAAUGAAGCGUUUCUUGAAACAUUUCAGUAUCGGCGGGGUGAGGGAAUUUUCUAUGCAAAAUGCAAGAAAUCCCAAUACCCCAAAAAGCCUAAAGAUUGAAGGGAUUAAAGAUAUAAUAGCAAUUGCUUCUGGUAAAGGUGGAGUUGGCAAGUCAACUACCUCUGUUAAUUUGGCUGUUUCACUUGCCAAAAAGUUUCAACUUAAAGUUGGGUUGCUGGACGCGGAUAUAUAUGGGCCUUCAAUUCCUUUGAUGAUGAGACUCCAGGGAAAGCCGGAACUGAGCAAUGAUAGGAAGAUGAUUCCAAUUGAAAGCUAUGGAGUUAAGUGUAUAUCGAUUGGAUCUCUUGUAGACGAAAGGGAAGCAAUUGUGUGGAGAGGGCCUAUGGUAAUGAAAGCCCUUGAACAGUUGACAAGGGGAGUUGAUUGGGGUAUCCUAGAUAUUCUUGUGAUAGAUAUGCCUCCUGGUACGGGUGAUACACAGAUAUCUAUUUCCCAGAGGCUACAAUUAUCAGGAGGGUUGAUUGUUUCGACUCCUCAAGAUGUUGCUUUACUGGAUGCUCGCAGAGGGGUAAAAAUGUUCUCCAAAGUUAAUGUUCCGAUAUUGGGAAUUUUGGAGAAUAUGAGCUACUUUAAGUGCCCAAAAUGCAAUGAAGCAUCGUAUAUCUUUGGUCAAGGAGGAGCUCGUAAAACAGCUGAGGAGAUGGGUCUGAAAUUUCUUGGUGAGAUACCACUUGAGGUAGAGAUCAGAAGUGGUUCGGAUGAAGGCGUUCCCAUUGUUAUGUCAAAGCCUGAUUCUGUAAUCACUCAAGUAUAUGGCGAGGUGGCUGAAAAAGUUGUCAUACGGCUUGAAGAGGUAGAUAAGGAGCAAAAUUUCAGGCCAGAUUUAUCUCUUUAAAUGCGUUGAUCAAGCUACCGGCCAAGUUGAGCGUAACAGUAAUCAUUAGAAUCUGCCCCCUUCUAACAAAAUCAGAGGAAAUUCCAGUUGGCUCCAGAUAUAGAGCAAGAGGGAAAGCACAUUUAAGGCUAAGAAGGGUUCAAGGGAGUUCAUUGUUGAGAAAAGUGGUAAUCAUGUCUUGCUCGCUGGUGAUCUUAUGGACUAUUUUCUGGCCAAAUAGCAGAAUUGUCACUCAGACAAUUAACACUAACUGAAAGUCGCCAGGAAUGACGAUGUAUCCCUUUUGAGAGUUGAACCCAUCUAUACAACAUGAAAAGAUGAUGUUUACAGGUGGCUUCUCUUCAGUGGUGGGUUGUUUUCAACUGGUUGAAGAUGCAGUGAACAAUGCAGGUUUAGUAAAGGAUGCACUUCAUACCUAGGCUUAUGGAAGAAGAAAAAGAAAACAUAACUUUGGGCAUUUGAGAAGCAGACCAUAAUGCUUAGGUAGUUUUUGGCACAUCCAUGAUGUUCAUGUUUAUAUAAAGGAUUGGUAAAUGGUAAGGAAUCAUAUGACUAGGCAUUCAUGUUUAUUUUGGUAUAUAUAUAUUCGGAUAAGCAUCCUUGGUAA